UCGGGAAUAUUGGUCAAUGGAGGCAACUCUGAACCAGCCAUGCCGCGUGCAGGAAGAAGGCCCUAUGGGUCGUAAACUGCUUUUGAACAAGAGAAAACCCCGGUACGUGUACUGGGUUGAUAGUAUUGUUAGAAUAAGCAUCGGCUAACUUCGUGCCAGCAGCCGCGGUAAGACGAAGGAUGCAAGCGUUAUCCGGAUUCAUUGGGUUUAAAGGGUGCGUAGGCGGACUGAUAAGUCAGUGGUGAAAUCUCUCGGCUUAACCGAGAAACUGCCAUUGAUACUGUUAGUCUAGAGUACAGAUGAUGUGGGCGGAAUAUGACAUGUAGUGGUGAAAUACUUAGAUAUGUCAUAGAACACCGAUUGCGAAGGCAGCUCACAAAACUGUAACUGACGCUGAGGCACGAAAGUGCGGGGAUCAAACAGGAUUAGAUACCCAGUAGUCCCUGAGCGGGCUGGCAAGGCGCAU
rnacentral:rRNA from 1 species